GGAUUGACGGACUGAAGGCUCUUUCUCGAUUCCGUGGAAAGUGGUGCAUGGCCGUUUUUGGUUGGUGGAUCGAUCCGUCUGGUUAAUUCCGUUAACGAACGAGACCUCGGCACUCCGAAUAGCGCGGCGGACGUCGCGGCCUCCGGGCCGUCUUCCGCACGAGCUUCUUAGAGGGACCGUCCCCCGCCGGGGAAGGAGGUGCGAGGCAACGACAGGUCUGUGAUGCCCUUAGAUGUUCUGGGCCGCACGCGCAUUACACUGACGCGUCCAACGGGUGACUCCCGACCCGAAGGGGCCGGGGAAUCCGCAAGGCGCGUCGUGAUGGGGAUUGAACGUUGCAAUUGUUGUUCACGAACGAGGAAUUCCUAGUAGGCGCGGGUCAUCAACCCGCGCCGAUUACGUCCCUGCCCUUUGUACACACCG
rnacentral:rRNA from 1 species